CUUGUGUGAAAAUGUGAAAUGUCAAUGUGAGAAUUAUUGUCAAAUUUUCUGAGUUGGUGUUUUUGUUUAGAAGGUUCGCCAGACGGUCGAAGGCCUAACAUGAAAAGGCCUGAAAGGAGAGAUUCUGAUUCAUCUACAGGGUCGUCAGAAGUGAAUUUGCCCAAAAAGAAGAAGAACGUGUCAUUUAUUUUGUUAGAUUCUGAUGAUGACACUGAAUAUUUGCAUCCUCCAGUAGAGUCAGAUAUAGAGGACUUUACACCUCCAAAUCAGAACAAUCCGUCAACUCCUGAUCCUGAAAGUAAAAGACCCUGUGCAAAGCCCAGUCCAUCAACCACAGGUUCAAAUAAACACAGUGUGUGUUCAUUAAACUUAACGUCUGCUCAGAAGGCUUGUGGAUCAGCAGACAAUCCAGGAGAAUUGCAUGGCAUGAGUAAACGUUAUCCAUAUAUGUACAGAGCAUGUACGUUUCGAUCGCUAAAAGUGGGAAAGCCCAGAAGGGGAAAAAAUAAAAGCAUUCUAGACUCAGAUGAUGAAAGCCCAACCAGCACUGACCGUGUAGUAGCUCCAGGGGUGUCAGAUCUGGAGGACUCUAUGCUUCAAAAACAGCCCAAUCAGUCCACUCCUAUGCCUAAAAAAACAAGGCCGUGUGAAAAACUUAAUCCAUCAACCACAGAAGCUGACGAUGACACCGACAUUGAUUCAGAAGAGUCUCAGAGUUUGUUACCAUCAAAAACGUACCAUAUCACUAUUCCCUGUAGCGUUAUUUUGGACUCUGGACCCUUUGCAGAAUCAGGUCAGCCCGGGUCACCUCAGCAUUCAAGGCCCACUGUAGACGUUCCAGCAGUCCCUUCGACAGGGGUUUCUUCAUCACCAGGUCGUCUCGCUGCAGCAGAUGCUUCUGAUGUGGGUGCCACAGUGAAAUCUGAGUCCAGUGCCACCAUAUUUUGGACCAGAUGUAAUGAGGCCGGGUGGACUAAAGAAAUCUUCUCAGAGCUUGUGUCUCAGCUGAGCAGCCUAGGAGAAAGAGUGCAGUCACAGAAAGACAGCCACCAAGAUUAUGAUGUUGCUCUCAAAGUAUUGGGGGCAUCUGGACGGCUGCCUUGCAUUAUUACUCAGCUGGAACAAGACCUGGAGAAAGAGGAACGGGAUUUGCGGAGGAAAGAAGCAGCACUGAGGGAUGCCAAAGCUGUACUAGAUGUUUAAUAUAAACAAUAUAACAGAAUUAAGAUGUUUUAUUAUUUUUAACAAUUAAUUUUUUCAAUGUUUAUUUUUUUAAGCCCAGAACAUUUCUGCACUUUGCAUAUGGUAUAUGUUUUUUUAAUGGGGGUUUACAGUAUGUCAGUGACAGAAAUAUCAUGAAAUAUGUCUGCAUAUGCCAGUGACAGAAAUAUCAUGAAAUAUGUCUGCAUAUGCCGUUUUGAUAUGAUCGUUCUUCUGUUGUCAUUUUCUAAAUAAAAAAACAGUUGCAACUGUAAAAAACAUUCUUUAUUGUUCUUAGAAUGUU
rnacentral:lncRNA from 1 species